rfam:Ruminococcus sp. CAG:353 genomic scaffold, scf330
GGGGAUGUAAAGGUUUCGACGGGGAUUGUGAAGCAUGAUAAGCGAGCAGAGGACUGUGCUGAUCUCUAUAACCCGCACACGUUUUAAAAUUAGACGACAACGAUAAUUUUGCUUUAGCAGCUGCGUAAGCGCUGCUCGUCUGCCCGGAAAGUACCGUGGUUCCGGCUCAGGCGUCGAUUAACGGUGAACGUCAUUCGGGAGUGCCUGCGCCCGUCUGAUGUAUCGCAGGCUACUGAGUUCAGCUGUGUGUCUGUUCACGGCUGAACGAGGGAAUGUAAAUAACAGACUACGCUCGUAGAAAGUCGUGUGGAUCGGUUUUCGGACACGGGUUCGAUUCCCGUCAUCUCCACCA